AUGCGAUACUUGGUGUGAAUUGCAGAAUCUCGUGAACCAUUGAGUCUUUGAACGCAAGUUGUGCCCGAGGCCAUCUGGCCGAGGGCACGCCUGCUUGGGAGUCAUGGCAUCGCCGCCUUUGCUCCAUGCUGCGAUAUGCUGCUGGUGCUGAGCGCGUAAAUUGGCCCCGUGUGCCCUCGGGCACAGUCGGUCGAAGAGCGGGUAGUCGGCAGUCGUCGGGCACGAUGGGUGUUGGUCGCUACUAAUGAGCGGGAACAGAACAUCGUCCCCGUCGUCUCGGGAUGAGUCCUCAAGAGACCCUGUGUGAUUGCCGCGUCGGGCACGAUGAGUGCCGUGCUGAUACAUCAACUUGUGGCCCCAAGUCAGGCGAGACCACCCGCUGAGUUUAAGCAUAUCAAUAAG
rnacentral:rRNA from 1 species